rnacentral:rRNA from 1 species
GACGAACGCUGGCGGCGUGCUUAACACAUGCAAGUCGAACGGAGAGGCCCCUUCGGGGGUACUCGAGUGGCGAACAGGUGAGUAACACGUGAGUAACCUGCCCUUGACUUCGGGAUAACUUCAGGAAACUGGGGCUAAUACCGGAUAGGAAUCCUUGCUGCAUGGUGGGGGUUGGAAAGCUUCGGCGGUUUUGGAUGGACUCGCGGCUUAUCAGCUUGUUGGUGGGGUAGUGGCUUACCAAGGCUUUGACGGGUAGCCGGCCUGAGAGGGCGACCGGCCACAUUGGGACUGAGAUACGGCCCAGACUCCUACGGGAGGCAGCAGUGGGGAAUAUUGCACAAUGGGCGGAAGCCUGAUGCAGCAACGCCGCGUGCGGGAUGACGGCCUUCGGGUUGUAAACCGCUUUCAGCAGGGGCGAAGCUUGUGGUGACGGUACCUGCAGAAGAAGCACCGGCUAACUACGUG